rnacentral:rRNA from 1 species
UACGUAGGGUGCGAGCGUUAAUCGGAAUUACUGGGCGUAAAGCGUGCGCAGGCGGUGAUGUAAGACCGAUGUGAAAUCCCCGGGCUCAACCUGGGAAUGGCAUUCGGGACUGCAAGGCUGGAGUGCGGCAGAGGAGACUGGAAUUCCUGGUGUAGCAGUGAAAUGCGUAGAUAUCAGGAGGAAUACCAGUAGCGAAGGCGACUCUUUAGUAAAAACUGACGUUGAGGGACGAAAGUGUAGGGAGCAAAGCAGG